rnacentral:rRNA from 1 species
GUUGAACGCUGGCGACAUGCCUUACACAUGCAAGUCGAACGGCAGCAUGGGUGCUUGCACCUGAUGGCGAGUGGCGAACGGGUGAGUAAUGCAUCGGAACGUACCCGGAAGUGGGGGAUAACGUAGCGAAAGUUACGCUAAUACCGCAUAUUCUGUGAGCAGGAAAGCGGGGGAUCGCAGGACCUCGCGCUUCCGGAGCGGCCGAUGUCGGAUUAGCUAGUUGGCGGGGUAAAGGCCCACCAAGGCAACGAUCCGUAGCGGGUCUGAGAGGAGGAUCCGCCACACUGGGACUGAGACCCGGCCCAGACUCCUACGGGAGGCAGCAGUGGGGAAUUUUGGACAAUGGGGGCAACCCUGAUCCAGCCAUGCCGCGUGAGUGAAGAAGGCCUUCGGGUUGUAAAGCUCUUUCGGCCGGGAAGAAAUCGCACAGGUUAAUACCUUGUGUGGAUGACGGUACCGGAAUAAGAAGCACCGGCUAACUACGUGCCAGCCGCCGCCGUAACAC